ACGGCCUUUGUGGUAACUUGCACG
rnacentral:siRNA from 1 species